rnacentral:rRNA from 1 species
CCUACGGGUGGCUGCAGUCGAGAAUCAUUCACAAUGGGGGAAACCCUGAUGGGGCGACGCCGCGUGGGGGAAUGAAGGUCUGCGGAUUGUAAACCCCUGUUAUGGGGGAGCAAAUUAAAAAGAUAGUACCACAAGAGGAAGAGACGGCUAACCCUGUGCCAGCAGCCGCGGUAAGACAGAGGUCUCAAGCGUUGUUCGGAAUCACUGGGCGUAAAGUGUGCGUAGGCUGUUUCGUAAGUCGGGUGUGAAAGGCGCGGGCUCAACCCGCGGACGGCACAUGAUACUGCGAGACUAGAGUACUGGAGAGGGAACCGGAAUUCUCGGUGUAGCCGUGAAAUGCGUAGAUAUCGGGAGGAACACUCGUGGCGAAGGCGGGUUCCUGGACAUUAACUGACGCUGAGGCACGAAGGCCAGGGGAGCGAAAAGGAUUAGAUACCCGGGUAGUC